UACAGUUAUUUUUUUUUAAGGUUGUCCACGAGCAAAGCGUAAAAGUCGAACACGAGCGCAAAAGGCUGCUGGGAAUCGCUAAAAAUUGAAUGAAUUUUUAUAGCGAUUCCCAGCAGCUUUUCGCGCUCGUGUUCGACUUUUUCGCUUUGCUCGUGGACAACCUUA